CCUACGGGGGGCUGCAGUGGGGAAUAUUGUACAAUGGGCGCAAGCCUGAUGCAGCCAUGCCGCGUGUGAAGAAGGCCUUCGGGUUGUAAAGCACUUUCAGCGGGGAGGAAGGCGGUGAGGUUAAUAACCUCAUCGAUUGACGUUACCCGCAGAAGAAGCACCGGCUAACUCCGUGCCAGCAGCCGCGGUAAUACGGAGGGUGCAAGCGUUAAUCGGAAUUACUGGGCGUAAAGCGCACGCAGGCGGUCUGUCAAGUCGGAUGUGAAAUCCCCGGGCUCAACCUGGGAACUGCAUUCGAAACUGGCAGGCUAGAGUCUUGUAGAGGGGGGUAGAAUUCCAGGUGUGGCGGUGAAAUGCGUAGAGAUCUGGAGGAAUACCGGUGGCGAAGGCGGCCCCCUGGACAAAGACUGACGCUCAGGUGCGAAAGCGUGGGGAGCAAACAGGAUUAGAUACCCCAGUAGUC
rnacentral:rRNA from 1 species